UACGUAGGGUGCAAGCGUUAAUCGGAAUUACUGGGCGUAAAGCGCACGCAGGCGGUUGGUUAAGUCAGAUGUGAAAGCCCCGGGCUCAACCUGGGAAUUGCAUUUGAAACUGGCCAACUAGAGUAUGUGAGAGGGGGGUAGAAUUCCAAGUGUAGCGGUGAAAUGCGUAGAGAUUUGGAGGAAUACCAGUGGCGAAGGCGGCCCCCUGGCACAAUACUGACGCUCAGGUGCGAAAGCGUGGGGAGCAAACAGG
rnacentral:rRNA from 1 species